rnacentral:lncRNA from 1 species
CACAAGCACAAGAUACAAUCACAUAUAUAUGAACAUUCACGUACAUUACCACAUCACAUUUACCAUUCAUUCCAUCACAGAUAAUUAUAAAUUCACCUCUAUUAGUUUAAAAUGUUUCAUACCCGGAAACUCAUGUUAAAACCGUUUCCCACACGAAAAUUUUUUCUUUUAAAACACGAUACCAUGAGGGGUAGAAAAUUAUUUUCACAAUUUUACGUGAAAACCACAAUUAUUUUAUUUGACUUCACAAAACCAUAUAUAUACUCAACUAAAAUAAAAUAAACUGAACCAUAAAACGUCUAAGUCAAUUCUUAAAAAGACA